rnacentral:rRNA from 1 species
CGUACAGGUCUCCGUAGGUGAACCUGCGGAGGGAUCAUUACACUAAUAUGAAGGCGGGCUGGAACCUCUCGGGGUUACAGCCUUGCUGAAUUAUUCACCCUUGUCUUUUGCGUACUUCUUGUUUCCUUGGUGGGUUCGCCCACCACUAGGACAAACAUAAACCUUUUGUAAUUGCAAUCAGCGUCAGUAACAAAUUAAUAAUUACAACUUUCAACAACGGAUCUCUUGGUUCUGGCAUCGAUGAAGAACGCAGCGAAAUGCGAUAAGUAGUGUGAAUUGCAGAAUUCAGUGAAUCAUCGAAUCUUUGAACGCACAUUGCGCCCUUUGGUAUUCCAAAGGGCAUGCCUGUUCGAGCGUCAUUUGUACCCUCAAGCUUUGCUUGGUGUUGGGCGUCUUGUCUCUAGCUUUGCUGGAGACUCGCCUUAAAGUAAUUGGCAGCCGGCCUACUGGUUUCGGAGCGCAGCACAAGUCGCACUCUCUAUCAGCAAAGGUCUAGCAUCCGUUAAGCCUUUUUUUCAACUUUUGACCUCGGAUCAGGUAGGGAUACCCGCUGAACUUAAGCAUAUC